UACGUAGGGACCGAGCGUUGUCCGGAAUCAUUGGGCGUAAAGAGCGUGUAGGCGGCUUGCUAAGUCUUGCGUGAAAUCUCGGGGCUCAACCCCGAGCGGUCGUGGGAAACUGGCAGGCUAGAGUGCGGGAGAGGAGAAUGGAAUUCCUGGUGUAGCGGUGAAAUGCGCAGAUAUCAGGAAGAACACCCGUGGCGAAGGUGGUUCUCUGGAACGCAGCUGACGCUGAGACGCGAAAGCGUGGGGAGCAAACAGG
rnacentral:rRNA from 1 species